AUGCUCACUUCUGGAUCACAUUGGAGCAAUCAAGAGAAGGUUACCAUGGACCUUGCUCAAGGAUGACAUGCAGAUUCAUGAAAAACUUUUUACUGUU
ensembl:snRNA Gm24129 predicted gene, 24129